rfam:Schistosoma rodhaini strain Burundi genome assembly, scaffold: SROB_scaffold0002451
AUCCAGCUGACGAGUCCCAAAUAGGACGAAACGCGGGUCGUGAAU